rnacentral:rRNA from 1 species
GGCAUGGCUAAAACAUGCAAGUCGAACGCGUGUAGCAAUACACGAGUGGCGAAAGGGCGAGGAAUAGAUUCCUACGUACCCCGGAGUCAGGGAUAACCAUCGGAAACGGUGGCUAACACCUGAUGAUCUCGAAAGAGCAAAGUUUACGCUCUGGGAGCGGGGAAUCUCCUAUCAGGUAGUUGGUGAGGUAAUGGCUCACCAAGCCUUAGACGGGUAGCGGGUGUGAGAGCACGGCCCGCCGCAUCGGGACUGAGACACUGCCCGGACUCCUACGGGAGGCUGCAGUAACGAAUCUUCCGCAAUGCACGAAAGUGUGACGGGGCAAUGCCGCGUGUGGGAUGAAGCCCCUCGGGGUGUAAACCACUGUCAGGGUCUAGGAACACAAUGACCAUACCCAAAGGAAGCACCGGCUAACUCUGUGCCAGCAGCCGCGGUAAUACAGAGGGUGCGGGCGUUAAUCGGAAUACUGGGCUUAAAGGGUCCGUAGGCUGGGCUGUACGCGUCGAGUGAAAUACCACGGCUCAACCGUGGAACUGCU